GAUGAACGCUGGCGGCGUGCCUAAUACAUGCAAGUCGAGCGAACAGACGAGGAGCUUGCUCCUUUGACGUUAGCGGCGGACGGGUGAGUAACACGUGGGUAACCUACCUAUAAGACUGGGAUAACUUCGGGAAACCGGAGCUAAUACCGGAUAAUAUUUCGAACCGCAUGGUUCGAUAGUGAAAGAUGGCUUUGCUAUCACUUAUAGAUGGACCUGCGCCGUAUUAGCUAGUUGGUAAGGUAACGGCUUACCAAGGCAACGAUACGUAGCCGACCUGAGAGGGUGAUCGGCCACACUGGAACUGAGACACGGUCCAGACUCCUACGGGAGGCAGCAGUAGGGAAUCUUCCGCAAUGGGCGAAAGCCUGACGGAGCAACGCCGCGUGAGGGAUGAAGGUCUUCGGAUCGUAAAACUCUGUUAUUAGGGAAGAACAAACGUGUAAGUAACUGUGCACGUCUUGACGGUACCUAAUCAGAAAGCCACGACUAACUACGUG
rnacentral:rRNA from 1 species